GACGAAGGAUGCAAGCGUUAUCCGGAUUCAUUGGGUUUAAAGGGAGCGUAGGCGGAUUGGUAAGUCAGUGGUGAAAUCUUUGGGCUUAACCCAGAAACUGCCAUUGAUACUGCUGAUCUAGAGUACAGUUGCCGUUGGCGGAAUAUGACAUGUAGUGGUGAAAUACUUAGAUAUGUCAUAGAACACCGAUUGCGAAGGCGGCUAACGAAGCUGUAACUGACGCUGAGGCUCGAAAGUGCGGGGAUCAAACAGG
rnacentral:rRNA from 1 species